rnacentral:rRNA from 1 species
UGGGGAAUUUUGGACAAUGGGCGCAAGCCUGAUCCAGCCAUGCCGCGUGAGUGAAGAAGGCCUUCGGGUUGUAAAGCUCUUUCGGACGGGAAGAAAUGGCGGGCUCUAACAUAGCCUGUCGAUGACGGUACCGUAAGAAGAAGCACCGGCUAACUACGUGCCAGCAGCCGCGGUAAUACGUCGGGUGCGAGCGUUAAUCGGAAUUACUGGGCGUAAAGGGCGCGUAGGCGGCGCGGUAAGUCACUUGUGAAAUCUCUGAGCUUAACUCAGAACGGCCAAGUGAUACUGCUGUGCUAGAGUGCGGAAGAGGCAACCGGAAUUCUUGGUGUAGCGGUGAAAUGCGUAGAUAUCAAGAGGAACACCUGAGGCGAAGGCGGGUUGCUGGGCCGACACUGACGCUGAUGCGCGAAAGCCAGGGGAGCAAACG